rnacentral:SRP_RNA from 1 species
GCCGAGCCUGGUAACACGAGCUUGUAACUUAAGUGGGGGCUGUAAGGUGAUAGAAUGCGAGUUUGGCUUUGCUGAAAUGGAUGUUGGGUGGUUUAACUUUGGCUUGCCCGCUCCAAGUUGUUAGUUGAGCCGAGGGGCUUGAGUGUAAACUCUGAGACUCGUGGUUCCUAAAGUGGAGGGUACUGCGUGAGGUUAGUUUCUCAGAGCAGCGAAAACCUCCCUCUCUUGACAGUGGAAGAUAACAAGCUUUGAUCCACUCCUAUCCAACAUGGCUCAGCGAGCUAACCAUCAUAAACUUUA